rnacentral:lncRNA from 1 species
AUGGAAAUUGAUGCUGCAGCAACGCUACUCACUGGAAUCCUCUCUAAGAGAGGGAUAGACGCACCGGCGAAACUGCUACACAACUUGAUUAAACUGGGACGACGYUGGGGUCACUUUUCUGACACCCACUUGUUGUUUUCGGUAUCUGAAUGGCGAGACUUUGGGGAAACCAUGUGGCAAAAAUCAAUUGUUGGGGGUGAAAAGGAGGAGAAGGAGAUAAAGGCCGUUCACGCACUUUGGAGAACUGUGUUAGAGACUCUGAAGGCUUUAAAAGCCGAAAGGGAAGUAGCAUGCGCGGCAGCGCAGAUGCUGGGUCCGGGAGUCCCUGCUUCCAAGCCCCAGAACAAGCCAGGGCCCGUUGCACGAUUUUUUGGCUUGCCUGCGGUCAGAGGCAUGUCCGGGACGGUUUGCCAGAACGCUACUGAGGUGCGGGAGAAAGUAGAGGGUCGGAGCCCCGGUACGUCGGAGGACAUCCCAAGCCCCGGUCCGAGCCAGAGAAAAGAGGAAGUUGCCGCACCAGAGGCUGGUGCGAGCUCUGAGACCAAAGCGGAAGUGCGCCGGGGGGCAGUCCCGAAAGGGGCGGAGGCCGCGCCUCUUGCCGACCUCGUAGACUUGGGCGGAGAGAGGUGUCGACCUUCCCCUACUGCUCCUCCCUUGCCGCCGCCUACCGCACCUCCCCUGAAUCCGCCGCGCUGCCCGUCACCGCCGCUGCCGGCAGCUCCCUUGUAUCCGCCGCUACCAUCAACGCCACCACCCGCACUACCAUCAUGCCCUCCGCCCACGGAGUACCCACCACUGCCUGCAUCUGGAGAGUCAUCUGGAUGUCACACGCCUGAUGCCGCAAAAACAGCACCGUCACCCCAGGGAGCCACUGCAAAAAUGUUGCAAGCAGUACUGGAGCGCCUGGAAAAGAUAGAGGUUGAGCAGCGGCGAGAAGGAGUUACCGCCCUGUCUACAAAGACCGCCAGGUCGAGCAGCACCAACAUGGUGGAGCGGCAUUAUUAA